rnacentral:rRNA from 1 species
ACCCGCACAAGCGGUGGAUGAUGUGGAUUAAUUCGAUGCAACGCGAAAACCUUUACCUACCCUUGACAUGUCUGGAACCUUGCUGAGAGGCGAGGGUGCCUUCGGGAGCCAGAACACAGGUGCUGCAUGGCUGUCGUCAGCUCGCGUCGUGAGAUGUUGGGUUAAGUCCCGCAACGAGCGCAACCCUUGUCAUUAGUUGCCAUCAUUUAGUUGGGCACUCUAAUGAGACUGCCGGUGACAAACCGGAGGAAGGUGGGGAUGACGUCAAGUCCUCAUGGCCCUUAUGGGUAGGGCUUCACACGUCAUACAAUGGUCGGUACAGAGGGUUGCCAAGCCGCGAGGUGGAGCCAAUCCCUUAAAGCCGAUCGUAGUCCGGAUCGUAGUCUGCAACUCGACUACGUGAAGUCGGAAUCACUAGUAAUCGCAGAUCAGCAUGCUGCGGUGAAUACGUUCCCGGGUCUU